GACGAACGCUGGCGGCGUGCUUAACACAUGCAAGCCGAACGAUGAAGCUAGAGCUUGCUCUGGUGAAUUAGUGGCGAACGGGUGAGUAACACGUGAGUAACCUGCCCCGAACUCUGGGAUAAUUGCUGGAAACGGUAGCUAAUACUGGAUACGACCUACGAAGGCAUCUUCUGUAGGUGGAAAGAAUUUCGGUUCGGGAUGGACCCGCGGCCUAUCAGCUUGUUGGUGAGGUAAUGGCUCACCAAGGCGACGACGGGUAGCCGGCCUGAGAGGGUGACCGGCCACACUGGGACUGAGACACGGCCCAGACUCCUACGGGAGGCAGCAGUGGGGAAUAUUGCUCAAUGGGCGCAAGCCUGAUGCAGCAACGCCGCGUGAGGGAUGACGGCCUUCGGGUUGUAAACCUCUUUUAGUAGGGAAGAAGCGAAAGUGACGGUACCUGCAGAAAAAGCACCGGCUAACUACGUGCCAGCAGCCGCCGUAA
rnacentral:rRNA from 1 species